UCACUGACUUGUAUUUGAAUCGCAUGU
rnacentral:piRNA from 1 species